AUUGAACGCUGGCGGCAUGCUUUACACAUGCCAGUCGAACGGUAACAGGCCUUCGGGUGCUGACGAGUGGCGAACGGGUGAGUAAUGCAUCGGAACGUACCCAGAGGUGGGGAUAACGCAGGGAAAACUUUGCUAAAACCGCAUUUGUACCGAAGAUGAAAUCCGGGGGACGGGCAGCGAUGUUUGGCCCCGGGGCUUUUGAACGGGCGGAUGUCGGAUUAGCUAGUUGGUGGGGUAAAGGCCUACCAAGGCGACGAUCCGUAGCUGGUCUGAGAGGACGACCAGCCACACUGGGACUGAGACACGGCCCAGACUCCUACGGGAGGCAGCAGUGGGGAAUUUUGGACAAUGGGCGCAAGCCUGAUCCAGCAAUGCCGCGUGCGGGAAGAAGGCCUUCGGGUUGUAAACCGCUUUUGGCAGGAACGAAACGGUGUCCGCUAAUACCGGGCGGUAAUGACGGUACCUGAAGAAUAAGCACCGGCUAACUACGUG
rnacentral:rRNA from 1 species